rnacentral:rRNA from 1 species
CCUACGGGUGGCAGCAGUGAGGAAUAUUGGUCAAUGGCCGGAAGGCUGAACCAGCCAAGCCGCGUGAGGGAUGAAGGCGCAGAGCGUCGCAGACUUCUUUUGUCGGGGGAUAAAAGGCCGGACUCCUCCGGUCAUGCGGGUACCCGGUGAAAAAGUAUCGGCUAACUCCGUGCCAGCAGCCGCGGUAAUACGGAGGAUGCGAGCGUUAUCCGGAUUUAUUGGGUUUAAAGGGUGCGCAGGCGGGCCGUUAAGCCAGCUGUGAAAUCGCGGGGCUCAACCGUAAAAUUGCAAUUGAUACUGGCAGCCUUGAGUACAGUAGAGGUAGGCGGAAUUCGUGGUGUAGCGGUGAAAUGCUUAGAUAUCACGAAGAACUCCGAUUGCGAAGGCAGCUUACUAGACUGCAACUGACAUUGAUGCUCGAAAGUGUGGGUAUCAAACAGGAUUAGAUACCCUUGUAGUC